rnacentral:rRNA from 1 species
UACAGAGGGGGCAAGCGUUGUUCGGAAUUACUGGGCGUAAAGGGCGCGUAGGCGGCCCGCUAAGUCGAACGUGAAAUCCCCGAGCUCAACUCGGGAACUGCGUCCGAUACUGGCGGGCUUGAAUCCGGGAGAGGGAUGCGGAAUUCCAGGUGUAGCGGUGAAAUGCGUAGAUAUCUGGAGGAACACCGGUGGCGAAGGCGGCAUCCUGGACCGACACUGACGCUGAGGCGCGAAAGCUAGGGUAGCAAACGGG